AGAAAACUAAACUACAAAAGUUACAGCAGAUAAGGGUGAACUUUUUAAGGCUUGUUCAGAGACUAGGUGCUUCUCCGGAUGAUUCACUAGUAGCACAAGUUCUGUAUCGUUUUGGGCUUGUAGCUGGUAGGUCGACUGGUCAGCUAUUUAGCUUCGAUAAUGCAAAAAAUACAGCUAUUCAGCUUGAAGCAGAAGGAAAGGAAGAUUUAGACUUCUCAUUGAACAUACUUGUUCUUGGGAAAUCAGGUGUAGGAAAGAGU
rnacentral:misc_RNA from 1 species